AGUGAAGCGGCAACAGCUCAAAUUUGAAAUCUGGCCCCCAGGGCCCGAGUUGUAAUUUGCAGAGGAUGCUUUUGGCGCGGUGCCUUCCGAGUUCCCUGGAACGGGACGCCAUAGAGGGUGAGAGCCCCGUCUGGUCGGACACCAAGCCAGUGUAAAGCUCCUUCGACGAGUCGAGUAGUUUGGGAAUGCUGCUCUAAAUGGGAGGUAUAUGUCUUCUAAAGCUAAAUACCGGCCAGAGACCGAUAGCGCACAAGUAGAGUGAUCGAAAGAUGAAAAGCACUUUGAAAAGAGGGUUAAACAGUACGUGAAAUUGUUGAAAGGGAAGCGUUUAUGACCAGACUUGGGCCCGGUGAAUCAUCCAGCGUUCUCGCUGGUGCACUUUGCCGGGCUCAGGCCAGCAUCAGUUCGUCGCGGGGGAUAAAAGCUUCGGGAACGUGGCUCCCUCGGGAGUGUUAUAGCCCGUUGCACAAUACCCUGCGGUGGACUGAGGUUCGCGCUCCGCAAGGAUGCUGGCGUAAUGGUCAUCAGCGACCCGUCUUGAAACACGGACCAAGGAGUCGUCUUCGUAUGCGAGUGUUCGGGUGUCAAACCCCUACGCGUAAUGAAAGUGAACGCAGGUGAGAGCUUCGGCGCAUCAUCGACCGAUCCUGAUGUUCUCGGAUGGAUUUGAGUAAGAGCAUACGGGGCCGGACCCGAAAGAAGGUGAACUAUGCCUGUAUAGGGUGAAGCCAGAGGAAACUCUGGUGGAGGCUCGCAGCGGUUCUGACGUGCAAAUCGAUCGUCAAAUAUGGGCAUG
rnacentral:rRNA from 1 species